UUGCUUCCUGGUGGCGAGCGGCGGACGGGUGAGUAAUGCAUAGAAAUCUGCCCGGUAGUGGGGGAUAACCUGGGGAAACCCAGGCUAAUACCGCAUACGUCCUACGGGAGAAAGCAGGGGCUCUUCGGACCUUGCGCUAUCGGAUGAGUCUAUGUCGGAUUAGCUUGUUGGUGAGGUAAUGGCUCACCAAGGCGACGAUCCGUAGCUGGUCUGAGAGGAUGAUCAGCCACAUCGGGACUGAGACACGGCCCGAACUCCUACGGGAGGCAGCAGUGGGGAAUAUUGGACAAUGGGCGAAAGCCUGAUCCAGCCAUGCCGCGUGUGUGAAGAAGGCCUUCGGGUUGUAAAGCACUUUCAGUGGGGAAGAAAGCCUUGGGGCUAAUACCCUCGAGGAAGGACAUCACCCACAGAAGAAGCACCGGCUAACUCCGUGCCAGCAGCCGCGGUAAUACGGAGGGUGCGAGCGUUAAUCGGAAUUACUGGGCGUAAAGCGCGCGUAGGCGGUCUGAUAAGCCGGUUGUGAAAGCCCCGGGCUCAACCUGGGAACGGCAUCCGGAACUGUCAGGCUAGAGUGCAGGAGAGGAAGGUAGAAUUCCCGGUGUAGCGGUGAAAUGCGUAGAGAUCGGGAGGAAUACCAGUGGCGAAGGCGGCCUUCUGGACUGACACUGACGCUGAGGUGCGAAAGCGUGGGUAGCAAACAGGAUUAGAUACCCUGGUAGUCCACGCCGUAAACGAUGUCGACUAGCCGUUGGGCUCCUUGAGAGCUUUGUGGCGCAGUUAACGCGAUAAGUCGACCGCCUG
rnacentral:rRNA from 1 species